rnacentral:rRNA from 1 species
UACGGGGGGAGCGAGCGUUGUUCGGAAUCACUGGGCGUAAAGGGCGCGUAGGCGGUCGAGUAAGUCAGAGGUGAAAUACCAGGGCUUAACCUUGGAAUUGCCUUCGAUACUGCUUGGCUAGAGGGCGGAAGAGGAUAGUGGAAUUCCUGGUGUAGCGGUGAAAUGCGUAGAUAUCAGGAAGAACACCGGUGGCGAAGGCGGCUAUCUGGUCCGCUACUGACGCUGAGGCGCGAAAGCCAGGGGAGCAAACGGG